rnacentral:lncRNA from 13 species
CCCAAGCACAGAGAGGAGUGUCUCCAGGGUGGAAAAGGCUGAGACCCUGUGAAGAACUGUUCGUCUCAUCUUCCUCUUUCCCUUCAGCCACCUGCCCCUUCAGACAACAGCCUCUGCCCUCUUUGCAGUGACAAAUCAUCCAGCCUGCCAGCGACCCUCCAGGGGCCUUUGCAGUCUCUGCGCAGGCGAGUUACUUCUUCCUGAGUUUUUUUGUCCUGAAUUUUUCUGCCAACCUGUUAUUGACAAGCUUCAUACAGCUAGAUUAGAGUGGGUAAAUGCAGCAGCUGAGGAAGCUGUCCCUACCCCGUGCCUGUAAAUCUCCAGAAGCUUUUCUUCCCCUUUCUUACAGGAACUGGUCAUACGCUGAUGGGUUAUCUGAGGCCUGAGAUGGGUGGGAGGAAACUUUCACCCAAAUCUCUGCCUGAGCGAAAUGGCCUGGAACUCACUCUAAAUCAUCUACUGAAAUCCUGGCACAGAAAGAAUGUAUAGAAAAGGGCAGAAUUCAAAUGCCAGGGCGAAGGGGGUCCCUGCACCAUUGUGGAUUCCAGGGACAGUAUCACGGUGGACAACAAACCAACACUGUCACCAGGAGGCAGGUGCAGAGUUCGAGGAGGACAAGAGAGAAGGUGCAGGAAACCCAUCCAGGGAGGACACAUCAGGAAUCUCUUCACCUCUGUUCUCUCUCCUCUCCAUUUCAUCUUUCACACUAAUCAGUUGUUAAGAGCUUCUGCGAGUCCCAAUAUUGACAGUGUGUUCUAAAAUAGCCAUAAUAUUUAUUAGGCAUGACUUCAUGCCAGGCACUGUCCUGAAUAGUUCAUGUGCUAAACAUAUGUCUUACUGCAUAGUGACCACAGAUCUGGACUGUUGGUCCCAAUGUUGCCAAUACCCAGGUGGGAGCUAUUAGAAAACUAAUUCUUGGCCGGGCAUGGAAGCUCACGCUUGUAAUCUCAGCACUUCGGCAGGCCAACACAGGUGGAUCACCUGAGGUCAGGAGUUUGACACAAACCUGACCAACGCGGAGAAACCCCAUCUCUACUAAAAAUACAAAAUUAGCCGGACAUGGUGGUGCAUGCCUGUAAUCCCAGCUACUCGGGAGGCUGAGGCAGGAGAAUUGCUUGAACCUGGGAGGCGGAGCUGGCGAUGAGCCGAGAUCACCCAUUGCACUGCAGCCUGGGCAACAGAGUGAAACUCCGUCUAAAAAAAAAAAAAAAAAAAAAAGAAAGAAAGAAAGAAAAAAGAAAACUCUCUCUUUGCUAUUUCCUUAUCUGUUGAAUGAUGAGGGAGUUCCAGUGCUGGAGGGCGAGUAGAGUAGAGACACCCUCCAUCAACUGCUUGUUGGAGUAUAAACUAGUACAACUUUUAUAAUAGGAAGAAUGCAAUGCCUAGUAAGAUUUAAAAUAUGCAUGUUCUUUGAUUAAACAACCUAACCACUAGAAAUCUAUCCUAUAGAGAUAGUAGUAAGAAUAUGUAAGGAUUCACAUGCAAGAAUGUUUGUGGCAGCAUCAUUUGUAAAAGCAAACAAGUUGGACCAUCAUAAAUGUCUAUCAGCAGAAAAAUAGCUGAAAACAUGUCUAGUCGAUGGAAUACCAGACUGCAAAUGAGAUAUGGACUUGGGAAAGUUUUUCACAAUACAUUUUAAAAUAAAAGAACAGAUCAAUAUGCA